UACGGGGGGAGCAAGCGUUGUUCGGAUUUACUGGGCGUAAAGGGCGCGUAGGCGGUCAGCACAAGUCAGUUGUGAAAUCUCCGGGCUUAACUCGGAAAGGUCAACUGAUACUGUGCGACUAGAGUGCAGAAGGGGCAACUGGAAUUCUCGGUGUAGCGGUGAAAUGCGUAGAUAUCGAGAGGAACACCUGCGGCGAAGGCGGGUUGCUGGGCUGACACUGACGCUGAUGCGCGAAAGCCAGGGGAGUGAACGGG
rnacentral:rRNA from 1 species